rnacentral:rRNA from 1 species
AUUGAACGCUGGCGGCAUGCCUUACACAUGCAAGUCGAACGGCAGCACGGGAGCAAUCCUGGUGGCGAGUGGCGAACGGGUGAGUAAUAUAUCGGAACGUGCCCAGUCGUGGGGGAUAACGCAGCGAAAGCUGUGCUAAUACCGCAUACGCUCUACGGAUGAAAGAGGGGGAUCGCAAGACCUCGCGCGAUUGGAGCGGUCGAUAUCAGAUUAGCGAGUUAGUGAGGUAAAGGCUCACCAAGGCGACGAUCGGUAGCUGGUCUGAGAGGACGAACAGCCACACUGGAACUGAGACACGGUCCAGACUCCUACGGGAGGCAGCAGUGGGGAAUUUUGGACAAUGGGCGCAAGCCUGAUCCAGCAAUGCCGCGUGCAGGAUGAAGGCCUUCGGGUUGUAAACUGCUUUUGUACGGAACGAAACGGUGAGCUCUAAUACAGUUUGCUAAUGACGGUACCGUAAGAAUAAGCACCGGCUAACUACGUGCCAGCCGCCGCUGUAA